rnacentral:rRNA from 1 species
GGAAUCUUGCACAAUGGGCGAAAGCCUGACGCAGCAACGCCGCGUGCGGGAUGAAGGCCUUCGGGUUGUAAACCGCUUUCAGUGGGGACGAACCAAGACGGUACCCACAGAAGAAGCCCCGGCCAACUACGUGCCAGCAGCCGCGGUAACACGUAGGGGGCAAGCGUUGUCCGGAUUCAUUGGGCGUAAAGAGCUCGUAGGCGGUUCGAUAAGUCGGGUGUGAAACCUCCAGGCUCAACCUGGAGACGCCACCCGAUACUGUCGUGACUAGAGUCCAGUAGGGGAGCGUGGAAUUCCUGGUGUAGCGGUGAAAUGCGCAGAUAUCAGGAGGAACACCAGCGGCGAAGGCGGCGCUCUGGGCUGAUACUGACACUGAGGAGCGAAAGCGUGGGUAGCAAACAGGAUUAGAUACCCGGGUAGUCCCUGAGCGGGCUGGCAAGGCGCAU